GAUGAACGCUGGCGGCGUGCCUAAUACAUGCAAGUCGAGCGAACGGACGAGAAGCUUGCUUCUCUGAUGUUAGCGGCGGACGGGUGAGUAACACGUGGAUAACCUACCUAUAAGACUGGGAUAACUUCGGGAAACCGGAGCUAAUACCGGAUAAUAUUUUGAACCGCAUGGUUCAAAAGUGAAAGACGGUCUUGCUGUCACUUAUAGAUGGAUCCGCGCUGCAUUAGCUAGUUGGUAAGGUAACGGCUUACCAAGGCAACGAUGCAUAGCCGGCCUGAGAGGGUGAUCGGCCACACUGGAACUGAGAUACGGUCCAGACUCCUACGGGAGGCAGCAGUAGGGAAUCUUCCGCAAUGGGCGAAAGCCUGACGGAGCAACGCCGCGUGAGUGAUGAAGGUCUUCGGAUCGUAAAACUCUGUUAUUAGGGAAGAACAUAUGUGUAAGUAACUGUGCACAUCUUGACGGUACCUAAUCAGAAAGCCACGGCUAACUACGUG
rnacentral:rRNA from 1 species